rnacentral:rRNA from 1 species
UGCAGCAACGCCGCGUGAGGGACGACGGCCUUCGGGUUGUAAACCUCUUUUAGCAAGGAAGAAGCGAAAGUGACGGUACUUGCAGAAAAAGCGCCGGCUAACUACGUGCCAGCAGCCGCGGUAAUACGUAGGGCGCAAGCGUUAUCCGGAAUUAUUGGGCGUAAAGAGCUCGUAGGCGGUUUGUCGCGUCUGCUGUGAAAACUGGGGGCUCAACCCCCAGCCUGCAGUGGGUACGGGCAGACUAGAGUGCGGUAGGGGAGAUUGGAAUUCCUGGUGUAGCGGUGGAAUGCGCAGAUAUCAGGAGGAACACCGAUGGCGAAGGCAGAUCUCUGGGCCGUAACUGACGCUGAGGAGCGAAAGGGUGGGGAGCAAACAGGCUUAGAUACCCUGGUAGUCCACCCCGUAAACGUUGGGAACUAGUUGUGGGGUCCAUUCCACGGAUUCCGUGACGCAGCUUACGCAUUAAGUUCCCCGCCUGGGGAGUACGGCCGCAAGGCUAAAACUCAAAGGAAUUGACGGGGACCCGCACAAGCGGCGGAGCAUGCGGAUUAAUUCGAUGCAACGCGAAGAACCUUACCAAGGCUUGACAUAUACGAGAACGGGCUAGAGAUAGUCAACUCUUUGGA